AGAGUUUGAUCCUGGCUCAGGAUGAACGCUAGCUACAGGCUUAACACAUGCAAGUCGAGGGGAAACGAUAUUGGAAGCUUGCUUCCGAUAGGCGUCGACCGGCGUACGGGUGAGUAGCGCGUAUCCAACCUGCCCACCACUUGGGGAUAACCUUGCGAAAGUAAGACUAAUACCCAAUGAUAUCUCUAGAAGACAUCUGAAAGAGAUUAAAGAUUUAUCGGUGAUGGAUGGGGGAUGCGUCUGAUUAGCUUGUUGGCGGGGUAACGGCCCACCAAGGCGACGAUCAGUAGGGGUUCUGAGAGGAAGGUCCCCCACAUUGGAACUGAGACACGGUCCAAACUCCUACGGGAGGCAGCA
rnacentral:rRNA from 1 species